rnacentral:rRNA from 1 species
CCGACCCCACGAAGCUGGAUUCGCUAGUAAUCGCGCAUCAGCCAUGGCGCGGUGAAUACGUUCCCGGGCCUUGUACACACCGCCCGUCAAGCCAUGAAAGCCGGGGGCGCCUAAAGUCCGUGACCGUGAGGAGCGGCCUAGGGCGAAACUGGUAAUUGGGGCUAAGUCGUAACAAGGUAGCCGUACCGGAAGGUGCGGCUGGAACACCUCCUUU